CAAUAGCGUAUAUUAAAGUUGUUGCGGUUAAAAAGCUCGUAGUUGGAUUUCUGCUGAGAACGACCGGUCCGCCCUCUGGGUGUGUAUCUGGCUCUUUCUUGGCAUCUUCUUGGUGAACGUUGCUGCACUUGACUGUGUGGAGCGCUACCCAGGACUUUUACUUUGAGGAAAUUAGAGUGUUUCAAGCAGGCAUACGCCUUGAAUACAUUAGCAUGGAAUAAUAAGAUAGGACCUCGGUUCUAUUUUGUUGGUUUCUAGAGCUGAGGUAAUGAUUAAUAGGGACAAUUGGGGGCAUUCGUAUUAACGCGUCAGAGGUGGAAUUCUUGGAUUGCGUUACGACGAACUACUGCGAAAGCAUUUGCCAAGGAUGUUUUCAUUGA
rnacentral:rRNA from 1 species